AAGCAGCUACAAGUUCGCCAAGCUUUUCAAGUUUUUUGUUUUCCCGGUUCUGUUGUGUUUUCCAGUUUUUGGAGACGAAGGCAAAUCUUUUGUGAUCCGUUUUCUUUUCCUCUCUUCUUCUUUUGUUGUUUUUUUUAUCUUUUGCUCUCAUUAUAUUCGCCGCGUUCUACUUCAUUCAGGCCCUCUACAACAACAACAAACCCCAAAAAAGGCAGAAAAUAAAUACAGGAGCUGCUAGUGCAGAGUGAAAAACGGCGGCUCACCUACUGCUAUUGAACUGGAAACAUUGACAUGCCCUCCUUUUCAAGUGGCUUCAAUCUUGAAUGCACACGACAUCAAGGAGAAGCUAAAGGAGAUUAGAAGAAAGAAAAAACGUGGCUUUGAUUUGUUCAUUAAGUAAGCGGAUGAGAAACCACUUGGCAACUUUUGAUCGAGCAGACGAAACAAAGAGUCGUCUCAUUAUGCCACCGUCUGUUCGUACCUGAAACGUGGUCCAUCAGUUUUAUCAUGAAAUUUGUGAGAUGGACACAUUCCACAGAGUUCAUUUUGACCUGUCGCAUUUCCACUAAACAUUCGCCUUUACGAGUGACGCCAUCUUUUUUCUCUCUUUCAGUUGAUUAGCAUCUAAGAUCGUCUGUAGUCCCUCCCCGUCCUUUUUUUUUUCAAACGGUAAAUCACGAAGCGGACGUGUCACGACAUAUCGAGUCGGUUAUUUUACAUAUUGUGGUAAUGAUUGCCGAGAUUACAUUCGCCGCCGACAGGGAUACAGAAAAUAAAUACAUUCCCCUCCCCCUCAUUUGUUUUUCGUGAUGACCGUCGGCCAACCCAAACAAAAGAAGAAAAAGUGCUGCAAUGAUGUAAAGACGUUCUCUUUUCAAAUCUAGAGAGACAAUCGAAGUUGACGUUGAACGGGAGUCGCCCUAUUGUUAUGCUAAACUACCAACUAUUUCGAUACCACAAGGGUCGAAAACCGUUUUCUCGAUGGUAGACGAGGCGUCGUCAUCUUGUCAGACAGGAUACACUCAUUGCAGUGUACGUAAUGCGUGUAGAAAAUCACCAUUGCUGGCUAUUUCAGACCUGGCCGCAAAGAAUCAUGACGCUCCCCCCUCCCUUUUAUUUACUUUGAAAAAGAAACAAUUGAAAAUCGACAGAGGGGAGAAAUAAACAAAAAAUUCUUUCAAAGGUUGGGCGGUGGUGCAGUAUAGGAAUUUUAUCCGAAUUGAUGGUAUGUGGUUCCGGCGAAACCGCAACAUUUUUUUGUUUUUUUAAAUGUAUUUUUUGAAUCUAGGUUACAAGUGUUUUUCUUUCUUUUCGGCCGAGAGAAUUGAACGAAAUAAUCACAACAUUCUAUAGGCGGACUUACUCCCCUCCCUGUGCAGGUGUCGCACGUACUGGCUAGUUCAUGGCUGUCCAAAGGCUUUUUGCGUGCACGCCAGCGUGAAUCCGGGCGUGGAAAACGAAAGAAAAAAAGAAAUGACGCGCAAUACGUCUGUGUUUUUACCACUGGUUUCGGUCAAAUUGACCAAGGCCGUACACAACAAUGAAAAUGAUCACGUCCGAAAGAAAAAAAAAAAUGAAUUCCAUGUGCGGUCGACGUUGUUGGAUAAUAAUGCGACGGAUUAAUACGCAAUGCUCAACGGAGCUUCAACAAAAAAACGAGUCUAUUAAAACUUGGUCGAUUUUGCCCUGCCAAAAGUUUUACAUUCGAUUUCGUAUAUUCUCAUUAUGAAAUAAUCAAUCAUCAUACAUACAACAUCAUGUACAAAAUGUGUGUUUUUUUAACAUUUCCAUUUUCUUUAUAAUUAUUGGCGCAGAAACAAACGGAAAAAAAGGGUAGGAAAGGAGAAAAAAUACACACUGCAUCAUCAGUACACAGAAUUCGAGUUUCUUGUUUUCACGUCAGAUUUACACCAAGGGGAAAGAAAUUGUCUGAAUAAUUAAAGUUUACGACGUUGCGGCUUUUCGCAUUUCAAAUCUCUCUUUCGCUCAUCUUACUGAAAUAACAACAAACGGGGAAAAAUAAACGGAAAAGAGGCGUAGCAAAAUAAAGAAAUAAAUUAAAUCUUUUUUGUUAUUGUUUUCUCAUUUCUUCACUUGUGUAGUAUGAUGGAUAGGGCAUAUUAUAACAAUGGCGAUGAAGUUGAAACGGCUGACUUGACGAUUAUUUCCCCAAAACUACUUGUCUUGCAUCACUUGAAAGAAUCAUUAUGUAUAGUAUCUAUAUCCAACUCAACGAUUGAAGGGAAACAAAAGGGAGGAGGGGAAAAACACAGAUCGCCAAGUAAAUCGAAAACUAAUAAUCGAUUUUAAAAUUUAAAGAAAGAAAAAAAAAGAGGUGGAAAUUUUUAGUACCGCUUAGUUAGGCUUGAAAAUCUGUUGUUUGUAUGGCUAAUAUUGUGCUCAUGUUGAUAAUUUCAGCGUGAGAAAAAGAAAGGGAAAGAAUAAUCAAUUAAAC